rnacentral:rRNA from 1 species
GACGAACGCUGGCGGCGUGCUUAACACAUGCAAGUCGAACGGAAAGGCCCUGCUUUUGUGGGGUGCUCGAGUGGCGAACGGGUGAGUAACACGUGAGUAACCUGCCCUUGACUUUGGGAUAACUUCAGGAAACUGGGGCUAAUACCGGAUAGGAGCUCCUGCAGCAUGGGGGGGGUUGGAAAGUUUCGGCGGUUGGGGAUGGACUCGCGGCUUAUCAGCUUGUUGGGGGGGUAGUGGCUUACCAAGGCUUUGACGGGUAGCCGGCCUGGGAGGGUGACCGGCCACCUUGCGCCUGCGGUACGGCCCAGACUCCUACGGGAGGCAGCAGUGGGAAAUAUUGCCCAAUGGGCGGACGCCUGUUGCAGCAGCGCCGCGUGCGGGAUGCCGGCCUUCGGGUUGUAAACCGCUUUCGCCUGUGACGAAGCGUUAGUGACGGUACUGGGUAAAGAAGCACCGGCUAACUACGUG